UACGGCCAUAUCACGUUGAAACACCGGUUUUCAUAAGAUCACCUAAGUUAAGCAACGUCGUACCUGGUCAGUACCUAGAUGGAUGACCGCUGGGGAAAAUCAGGUGCUGUAA